rnacentral:rRNA from 1 species
UUUAUAGAGUCAGCUGCCACAGCGCGCGUGUAAAGCGAGAUGAAAACUAGUGUGUGCGGGUUAAUUCCGUGCCUGAACGCAACCCAUAAACGUUAUCCCCCACCUGAGUAGUACGGGUCGCAAGGCUGAAACUUAAAAGGAAUGGACGGGCACCCGCACAAGCGGGUGGAGCAUGCUGUUUAAAUUCGAAGAUACGCGAAGAACUUUACUAGGGCUUGACAUCCCAUUGACCGUCUUGGAAACAAGAUUUUCCCUUCGGAGACUGGUGACAGGUGGUGCAUGGUUGUCGUCAGCUCGUGUCGUGAGAUGUUUGGUUAAGUCCCGCAACGAGCGUAACCCUCGUCUUUAAUUGCUAACAGGUUUAGUUGAGAACCUUAAAGAGACUGCCGGUGAUAAACCGGAGGAAGGCGGGGAUGACGUCAAAUCAUCAUGCCCCUUAUGACUUGGGCUACACACGUGCUACAAUGGCGACUACAAAGAGAAGCGGGGGACGCGAGGUCCGGAGCAAAUCUCAAAAAGGUCGUCCCAGUUCGGAUUGUAGUCUGCAACUCGACUACAUGAAGCCGGAAUCGCUAGUAAUCGCGAAUCAGAAUGUCGCGGUGAAUACGUUCCCGGGUCUUGUACACACCGCCCGUCACACCAUGGGAGCCGGAAAUGCCCGAAGUCUGUGACCCAACCGCAAGGAGGGAGCAGCCGAAGGUGGAGCUGGUGACUGGGGUGAAGUCGUAACAAGG